CUAGCUGUCAACAUACACACACACACACACACACACACACACACACACACAUAUGUGUAAAGAUAAGCAUAACACUUUUGGAACAAGAGAUGAUAAAGGGAAAAAUCAUUUCAGCACUAUGCUCCAGACCAGUGUGGCAAAAAACAAAUCAGCAGAUAUCCUCCAAACAGCAGAGUCUACAGGAGAGGGGCUGGUAACAGAGAACUCUGCCAUUGCCUUAGCACCAGCCAAUUUUCAAAAGUCCACAUCACCAGGAACAGGGAGCACCUGCCUACCUCAACGUCCACAGGAGCAGGCCAAGGUACAGCACCAGGCAAUUCUCGUUCCAUGUCCAAGGCAUGAGAGAACAUCCUGUUUUACCAGGACACAUACCAGGUAUGGCAAUGAGGUUACCCUUUUAUUUGUCUAAGAGGCCAGGACUAAAGGCCACCAUGUUACUAUACUGCACUCAGAACAGAUUCCAAAUAUAACAGUAAAACUUUCUUCUUUUCUCUGGCACCAAGAGGAGGAGGUACUUCAUUUAACACAGGGCCUUUCCAUGAAUUACUGUUCAAUUCUCCUAAUAUCCAAUAACUAUGGGCUUGCUAGGCAAAGAUAAACUUUGGGAUAGGGAAAUCACAGAGACAGAAAGUAGAACAGUGGUUGCCAGAAGCUGGGAAGAGGGGAGAUGGGAAGUUAUUGUCUAAAGAGUAUAGAGUUUCAGUUUCAUAAGAUUAAAAAAUUUAUCUUCAAGCAUUUGACUUCUGGUUUCAAUGUAUAGAGGUCAUUUUUCAGCAAUGUAAGCUCAUUUGAAAAUGAUCAUUUUAUUUAAGUCAUGGUUUAAAAUCUUCACUGUAACAGUAGUGCUCCCUAGUGACCAGAGUCAUCUUCUCCUUCUCUUGAGUUUGAUAAACAGUAGGAGAAGGGAGAAUGUGGGAGGAAGACAAAGCAGGAGGGAAAUCUAGGAUAGGUUAUUUGGGGAUAGGGGGCAAGGAAUACUAGGUUUGUUUUCAGAGAGGUAUGCACCAAGUGUGCUCUUAGCUGGAAGGAGAAAGCGAAGAUGAACACCCUUGCAGGUGUGCACUGGGGGUGGUAAUAGCAGCAGAGACGACGUGGGUGGUAAAUCAAGAUGAGGGUAAGGUCGGGGUAAGGAAGGCGGGGUUGGCUUCGGUCUGAAAAUUGCUCAGGCAGUGUUAGUUAUCCAUGCAGCUGUUCCCCCACCCUCCCUGGGGCUGGUUCAGGCUUGCAUUCAUAUUCCUCCCAAGAAAAAAGAUUAGUAGAAAUGAGAUGACCCUAUUUGAGGGUUUUUUAAUUGUUAUAAUUAUUAAACAUGCUACAGUCACAUAGAGUGGCUAUUCCAUUUCUCUCCUGACUUCACAGAGGAGUAGGUGAGAACUUGAGGGGUGAUCCUUUUGGGUUCAUGUGGCCUCUGGGGAUGACUGGACCUGGGGGUUUAGAGGUAAGCAGGUUGGUAAAGCCCCAAGAAUCCUUCAUGUAGUACUUUUUUUUUUUUUUACACUUUUACCAGCAGUAACUUGUAGCUUCAGAGAUCUCCCUAUUCUUUGCUUUUCUUUACUCCCUAAAUCUACCCUACUACUCAUUUCCCAGAGUGUGGCCCCGGAACAUCUUCUACCUCUGCCCCUUAUGGUCCUAGACUAGAUGAGGAAGGAAACUCUACCAGUCCCAGUCUCCCUUCCUUGGAACUAACCUACUCAGCAUGCACUAAUGCCUAGGGAGAAAGGAAGGCUCCAGUCCUCCCUGUAGCUUAGAUCAUAGGAAGGAAGUUGGAGGUGGCAGUGCAGGAGGAUCUGAAGGGGAAAGAACGUUACCUGAAGUGUGAAUGUUGUAA